UGGGGAAUAUUGCACAAUGGGCGAAAGCCUGAUGCAGCAACGCCGCGUGAGUGAAGAAGGCCUUCGGGUUGUAAAGCUCUUUCGACAGGAAAGAAGGGCAACUGGGUAAACAAUCCAGUUGUUUGACGGUACCUGGAGAAGAAGCACCGGCUAAUUCCGUGCCAGCAGCCGCGGUAAUACGGAAGGUGCGAGCGUUGUUCGGAUUUACUGGGCGUAAAGGGCGCUACGGCGGAUUCAUAAGUCAGUUGUGAAAUCCCUAGGCUUAACCUGGGAAUUGCAGUUGAAACUAUGAACCUUGAAUACCAGAGAGGGUGGGGGAAUUCCUGGUGGAGAAGUGAAAUUCGUAGAUAUCAGGAGGAACACCGGAGGCGAAGGCGCCUACCUGGCUGGCUAUUGACGCUGAGGCGCGAAAGCGUGGGGAGCAAACAGG
rnacentral:rRNA from 1 species